CACACGCACACAUCCUCCAUCUCUCUCUCCCCCUCCUCCCGCCCCGGUAUUGGACGAUACUCUCAGUAGGUGUGUGAGUGAAGUCAUUCAGAGCGCGUCCUCCCAACAGGCACACAGCACACAACAGUAUGGCACCAGUCAAUCUAGUGGGAGAGCUGAGCUCUGCAGCCUGGUCUUCGUCCCCGGUCCUCGCCCUCCUCUCCACCCUGGUCUUCCUCACGCUCAGCAUCACCCUCCUCACUCUGUGCAUGAGGUGUCGACGGAACCCGGAGAACGCGUACGACGUCAACAUGGGGCAAGACGUCCCGGACCAGGGCAGCGGGACCAAGGCCGUGAGUUGACCUGAAACACAGAGCACACCUGUCUCCCAGUAGACCAUAUGUGUCCCCAUGACAACCAGCCCUGGUUUUUGACCCCGCCUCUGGUCCUCAGAUAACCAGGCCUUCACCGCCUGGCGUAACCAUGGCGACAUG
ensembl:lncRNA